AAGGACUUUUCAACACUCAGUGUCAAGGUUUAUGUCUGUGGCCCCCAGGCCUCAUGAGUUUGCAUUGUUCAUUUGUGAUGCUUCAUUGUCUAGUGCUUGGAUUGAUGGUGUCAAUGCUCCUCCCACAAAGGGGUGGAGCCAGGAUGUGAUGUAAUGGCAGGAAGAAGGUGUGUCUUGCUCUUUGCUGGUUCCCGCUUGUUGUUUGCAGCCGCCAUGAACAGCGGCCCAGCCAUGCCCGCCUGCCUUGGAGCCAACUGAAUGUGGACUGAAACCUCCAAAAACUGCCCUGUGACAUCCAGCAGCCAGGAGUCCUCAUCGGAGAGAGAGAGAGACCAGCCCUCUCUGUGCUCAUGGCUCGCAUCGGGGCAGUGCCCUGGCAACGCGCCACACUGAAGCCUCACCUCUGCCAAGUGCCGCCACCCGCGGAGCUCUGUCAGCUUCCUAGCGUACAACUGAGCAGAGGCUUCACACUAAAGCCAACAGAGAGGUGCAGUGGCACAUUCUUGUAACCCCAAAACUCUGGAUGGCUGAGGAGGAGAAUCACAAGUUCAAGGCCAGCCUGGCCACUAGGUGAGAGACUUUACUGCAAAAUUUUUAAAAGGACUGCACUGUAGCUCAGUGACAGAGUGCUUGCCUUUGCAUCAGGCCCUGAGUUCACCUCCUAGUACCUCACUGAAAGGAAAGAAAACCUUUGAACUGCUAGGAUAUCAACUCAUUGUCCUGAAACGUAAUAAAAGGAAAAAUCAAGCAUUUAUCUCCCCUUUCGUGUAUGCACCUGUAUUUCAAAGUAUUAAUGUAAGUGGUGAGCUGAUGCUUAUUUAAAAAUCAGGUUCAUAGCUAAUACAUACUAUGGAAAUAAUAGAGAAACAACAGACUUUAAAGAUGAUAUGGUACUGUCCCUGUGGAACAUGGACGUCAGCAAUGGCCAUCAUGGGACGCUAGAGGAAGGCUUAUGGAAAACAUAAUGGAAGAGUCCUGUUGCUAUCCUAGGAACCCCCUGAAACCCCAGGAAACAUUUGUGAUGCAAUUCAAUAGGAAGGACUCAGAACCACCCGAGUCAAAUGAAGCCUCUAACUCUGCCUGUGGCGUGGAAACACGGGGGAGAAGGACGCGUUAUCCACCAUGAAAACGAUGCAGUCAAAACCAUGGACAGAUGACCAUGAAGAAAGGGGUAAGGUAACCCAAGUGUGGGGGCACACACCUAUAAUCUCUGGGAGGCUGAGGCAAAAGGAUCCCAAGUUCAAACCCUGCCUGGUCAAUUUAGUGACUUAGCAAGCCCUAGUCUUAAAAUUUAAAAGAAGCCUGGAGCUGUAGCUCAUCUUGAAGGCUCUUGGCUCAAUCCCCAGCAUCACAAAAAGGGGAGCCAAGGUAAACACAGCUGUAAAAUAUCCCGUCCUCCAGCCAUACACUUUAAAAAGAUUAUUUUGCUAAAAACAUGGUUAUUGUCUGCUUUUCACAGACAUACAAUACUGCGAAAUGUCUUAACCCACUCUGUCACUAGCAUUCAGCUCCUCCAAUUUCAUCAAGUGUAUUCUCACGAGCACAAAUUAAGAGGCUCAUGGAGCACAAAGCCCUGCUGGUGUGAAAGAUGAGGGCUGGGAUGUGGCUCAGUGGAGAGCAUCUGCCCGGCAUGUGCAAGGCCCCAGGUUCCCACCGCCACAAAGUAUGGUAUCAUGGUAUCAUCUACCUGUGAGUGGCUAGGUCUGCAGCAGUACAGACCCUGGAGUAAAGCCAUCCCUACCACCCAGCACAGUGGCCAGGGGGAGCUCUGCCUCUCUCUGUGCCUCCCAUUAUCACAGACUACCUGUGUCACUCUCCAGUUUUGGGGGGUUUUUGGCACCGAGAAUGGAACUCAUGACUUUGCGCUUGCCAGGCAGGAGCUUACACUGCUGAGCUAAAUCCCUGGCCCGUGCAUCAUUCUCUCUGCCAAGGGAAACUCAAACAUUCAAUUUUCAUGAAAAUUCGUCCCAUGUAUGUAAUUUCAGCUACUCAGGAAGCUGAAGCAGGAGGAUCACAAGUUUGAGGCCAGCCUGAGCAACUCUACGGGAGCCUGUUUUGAAUAUUUGUUUUUUCAACAGGGUCUGGGGAUGUAGCUCAGGGGUGGAGCAUCUGCUUAUGCUUAGCACACACAUUGUCCUGGAUUCCAUCCCAGAACUGCCUCCACCCAAUUCAAACUGAAUCUUCACCUCAUUAUUUAUAUAUCACAGCUAAAAUAUCUAGCCUUUAACGUAAAGAUGCUGCAAAUAUAAAGCCAAUAUCAAACCCAAGUGGCGUCAAACUCACUUUCAGCAUCCACAGGAAGUGUCUCAUCUUCAUCGUAAGCUCACCAGGAGGAGCUGUGUUCGGUCUGCUGUAAGCUCUAUAAAUCUCCCAGCACUUAUCAACGUAACUCAUCGUGCAGAGCGCCCCCUCACUGAAUAAGUUACCUGAAAGGUAACACUCAAAAACUGAUUACAAAAUUAAAUUUCAAAAAAUGACAGUGAAUAUUAUCCUAUUAUUUUUGUAUUUACCUUUUACCUGGCAGGCAUUUGGAUGAAUGUUUUCAGUCAUCAGCUUUGUAAAACACAGAAAGAGUGACGGGCUUCGAUUUCUGUGAUUAAAAAAGACACCAGUUAUUCCAUCCAGGAAACAGAACUGAAGUUCUCUCCUCCGGAGUGUGGACUAGUCUUAAUAACUGGACUGUGUCUAACAGGGUGGAGAAAAAAGAGACCACAAGUUUCCAGGGGAAAACUCUGCCUGGCUCCAUUCCAGCCUGCAAGAAGGGUCAGUCUGCCCCUAAGGAGACAUCCCACAGCAUGGACCGCCUGUGUGAUGGGUGACGGGACCAUUCACCUGCAGGGCAUUCUUCCCCCAAACCCACAAGCUCGGUAGAAUCAUGAGACAGCUUUGCAACCUAAGACGCUUCAGGAGCCAGCUGGCCAAGAUUGUUUUAAGUAUGGAGAUCAUGAUAGACAAAAUCUGAGAAAUAGUCACAGUUAGAGGAACCCAAGAGGGCAUGAUGGUUCAAUGUGAGGUGGCAUCCUGCACUUGAUGCUUGGUUCUGGGACAGUGAGAAAAACUGGAAAAAUCUUGUAAAAGUCUGUAGUUUGGUUAACAGUAUCACAAUAACAUUAAUUCCUUGUUUUGGAUGAAUGUACCAUGCUAAGACAUAAACAACAGGGGAAUUUGGGUGAAGAAUAUAUAGGAACUCUAGAGAGUACUUCAGCAAAACUUCUGUAAAUCUAAAAAAUAAAAAGUUUUUUAGGGAAAAGAAGAUACCAUGUUUGCUUUAAGGCAAUAAAAUUCCAGUAGCUCUGUGCAA